GAAUGCGGGCAUGGCAUAGAUUCUUCCCCUCUGCCCUCUCGAGAAGACAACUCUGCCUGCAUCUUGACUUUGGAUUUCCAGUCUACAGAACUGACACAAUUAGUUCCAGUUCCUGAAGCUACCCGCUUGGUGGCACUUUGUUAUGGCAGCCCUAGGACCUACCAGAGCACUGACACUGGAUCUUCAGAGUAGCCUGAAAACAGCAUGGCAGCUAGUAGAAACUUGUGAAUGAAUAAGUAAAUCCAUGAAUGAGGAACCUCAGGCUCUGGUUCACGCAAGUCACAGAACCUUUAGUCAGGGGUGUGACCCAGGCUGGGGGUGAGUUCAGAGCUGAGCAUGUGAUUCAAUCCAAGUCAUUCAUGUGCCCAUCAAAACCUUUGUGUUGGAACUGGCAAGAAGCCCUUCUUGGAGUGCAGCAUCAGCACCUUCUAGAUAGACAAGGAUCUGGAGAUGUCAACACAUUGCCUAAUGGCUUUGUUUGGCAAAUGGCUCAGCAGAAAGGGGCACAGAAUUUACCAUUCCUUUCGGUCUCUCAAGGUGUUCCUAUGAACUUUUUAAUGACCCAGUGUAAUGGACUCUUGCCUAGCUUCCAUGGAAUGUGAAUGAAUUGCUUUAAUAAAGAAAUCCUGUUGGUCUGGUGCGUGCGAUC